CCCUUAGAUGUUCUGGGCCGCACGCGCGCUACACUGAUGCAUUCAACGAGUCUAAAACCUGCUCUGAUAGGGGUGGGUAAUCUUUUGAAUGUGCAUCGUGAUUGGGAUAGAUGACUGCAAUUUUUCAUCUUCAACGAGGAAUGCCUAGUAAACGCAAGUCAUCAGCUUGCAUUGAUUACGUCCCUGCCCUUUGUACACACCGCCCGUCGCUCCUACCGAUUGAAUGAUCCGAUGAAUAUCAUGGAUUGAGGAUGCAAGCAGGUUCGCCUGUCUUCAUCUUCGAGAAGUGAAGUAAAUCUUAUCAUUUAGAGGAAGGAGAAGUCGUAACA
rnacentral:rRNA from 1 species